rnacentral:rRNA from 1 species
AAAGGGGGUUGCGGUAGCUAUCGGCGAGUGAAGCGAGCAAAGCUCAAAUUUGAAAUCUGGCACCUUCGGUGUCCGAGUUGUAAUUUGAAGAAGGUAACUUUGGAGUUGGCUCUUGUCUAUGUUCCUUGGAACAGGACGUCACAGAGGGUGAGAAUCCCGUGCGAUGAGAUGCCCAAUUCUAUGUAAAGUGCUUUCGAAAAAGUCGAGUUGUUUGGGAAUGCAGCUCUAAGUGGGUGGUAAAUUCCAUCUAAAGCUAAAUAUUGGCGAGAGACCGAUAGCGAACAAGUACAGUGAUGGAAAGAUGAAAAGAACUUUGAAAAGAGAGUGAAAAAGUACGUGAAAUUGUUGAAAGGGAAGGGCUUGAGAUCAGACUUGGUAUUUUGCGAUCCUUUCCUUCUUGGUUGGGUUCCUCGCAGCUUACUGGGCCAGCAUCGGUUUGGAUGGUAGGAUAAUGACUAAGGAAUGUGGCUCUACUUCGGUGGAGUGUUAUAGCCUUGGUUGAUACUGCCUGUCUAGACCGAGGACUGCGUCUUUGACUAGGAUGCUGGCAUAAUGAUCUUAAGCCACCCGUCUGAACAC